rnacentral:rRNA from 1 species
GACGAACGCUGGCGGCGUGCCUAAUACAUGCAAGUCGAGCGGAUCUUCAUUAGCUUGCUUUUGAAGAUCAGCGGCGGACGGGUGAGUAACACGUGGGCAACCUGCCUGUAAGACUGGGAUAACUUCGGGAAACCGGAGCUAAUACCGGAUAAUUCUUUCCCUCUCAUGAGGGAAAGCUGAAAGACGGUUUCGGCUGUCACUUACAGAUGGGCCCGCGGCGCAUUAGCUAGUUGGUGAGGUAACGGCUCACCAAGGCGACGAUGCGUAGCCGACCUGAGAGGGUGAUCGGCCACACUGGGACUGAGACACGGCCCAGACUCCUACGGGAGGCAGCAGUAGGGAAUCUUCCGCAAUGGACGAAAGUCUGACGGAGCAAUGCCGCGUGGAGGUAGAAGGCCUACGGGUCGUGAACUUCUUUUCCCGGAGAAGAAGCAAUGACGGUAUCUGGGGAAUAAGCAUCGGCUAACUCUGUGCCAGCAGCCGCAGUAAUAC